rnacentral:tRNA from 1 species
GGGGGUGUGGUCCAACUGGAUGGGCACCUGCUUUGCAUGCAGGCAUAUGCGGGUUCGAAUCCCGCCAUCUCCACCA